AGCGUCGCUCGCUUGCGCCAAAGUCUAGUGUUUUGCUCUGCGAUUGCAAAAAAAAACUAGCAAGCAGAAGAAAUAAUAAAAUAACAUUCUUCACACGAAAAAUUUGAGAUAUAAAUCUCAAAAUUAAGGAGGAAUAGCGGGCUAACAAUAAGCAGCCGUGAAUGAAGCGUUUCACUUAGUUAAUUUUUUUAAUUGUGCGUGCAGCGUCUGCCUAUGUAUGUACAUAUAUGUAUGUGUGUGUGUGUAAUAAACAAAACAAAAAACAACAGCAUUCGGCCCAAGCUCUGGCUAUUGAACAAAAUGUCAUAGACGUGCGUUGCGAACGCCAGCGACGCCAUAGCCAUGAUCUCCAGCAGCAAUCGAUGAAUGCCUAAGCAUCAGUGAGAGCAGCAGCAGCAGCACCAACAGAAGAGCCGUGCCGAGGAAGCCAGGACACCAAAGACGCAGCCAAGGGAUUUUCUGGGAUAUUCUGGGGCACUCAAAAUGUUGAUCAAGGAGUAUCGCAUUCCAUUGCCGCUCACCGUAGAGGAGUAUCGAAUAGCACAGUUGUAUAUGAUAGCGAAAAAGAGCCGUGAGGAGAGCCAUGGCGAGGGCAGCGGCGUCGAGAUCAUUAUUAACGAGCCAUAUAAGGAUGGACCCGGCGGCAACGGACAAUACACAAAAAAGAUUUAUCAUGUGGGCAGCCAUUUGCCAGGCUGGAUAAAGAGUCUGUUGCCAAAGAGUGCGUUGACUGUGGAGGAGGAAGCCUGGAAUGCCUAUCCAUACACACGCACACGCUACACUUGCCCCUUUGUGGAGAAAUUCUCACUAGACAUAGAGACCUAUUACUACCCAGACAAUGGCUACCAGGAUAAUGUGUUCCAGUUAUCGGGCAGUGAUUUGCGCAAUCGUGUUGUGGACGUAAUUGAUAUUGUCAAGGAUCAGUUGUGGGGCGGCGACUACGUCAAGGAGGAGGAUCCGAAACUAUUCGUCUCCGAUAAAACAGGCCGUGGCCCGCUGGUCGAUGAUUGGAUCGAGGAAUAUUGGCGUGAGGUCAAGGGCAAGAAGCAACCGACUGCCCGCAAUAUGUCUCUGAUGACGGCCUACAAAAUCUGUCGUGUUGAAUUCCGGUAUUGGGGCAUGCAAACGAAACUGGAGAAGUUCAUACACGAUGUGGCGUUACGCAAGACGAUGUUGCGCGCCCAUAGACAAGCAUGGGCCUGGCAGGACGAAUGGCAUGGCCUGACCAUCGAAGAUAUACGCGAGCUGGAGCGUCAGACCCAAUUGGCGUUGGCCAAAAAGAUGGGUAGUGGUGAGGAGGGAAGCGAUGCGGACAGCAACUCGGAACCGUAUGUAAGUACGGCUGCCGCGACACCAGCAUCGACGACAAUGUCGGAGCGUAAAAAAUCGGCAGCGGCCGUUCCACCCAUUGUUACCCAACAGCCGCCCAGUGCCGAAGGCAGCUCUGACGAAGAGGAAGAAGACGAAGACGAACAUGGCGAUGAGUUGGGCGCCCAAAGCAAUGCCCAGCGCUCCCGUUCGCAGAGCAUACAAAUGGCCAACAAGGCCAAGUUUGGCUCCAAGGGUGCACUCCACUCGCCCGUGGGUUCGGCCCACAGUUUUGAUCUGCAACAAAAAAAGCCGCAUGCCAAGAAUGCACCGCGCCUAAAUACACUUUGCUUUGCUGUGCUUUCGCAGGUGGCCAAUUGGCGAAUGGAGCGUCUUGAGGUGGACUCCAAGUCCAAUUCUGAUGAGGAGUUCUUUGAUUGCCUGGACACCAACGAGACGAACUCUCUAGCCAAGUGGAGCUCACUGGAGCUACUGGGCGAAGGGGAUGACAGUCCACCACCGCAUGGCGGCCCUUCCAGUGGUGGGCGCGCCAAACAAGAUGAUAGCAUUUUCAAUCAGGACUUCCUAAUGCGUGUGGCCUCCGAGCGUGGCAAUAAGCGUCAGUUGCGCUCCUCGGCCAGCGUUGAUCGCAGUCACGACUCCUCGCCGCCGGGCUCGCCAAGUACCCCCUCCUGUCCCACCACAAUUCUGGUACUAGUCGUGCACGCAGGCAGCGUGCUUGAUGCUGCCAGCGAAUUGACCGCCAAAAAGUCAGAUGUUACCACCUUUCGGGGCUCCUUUGAGGGUGUUAUGCGUCAGCACUAUCCCAGCCUGUUAACCCAUGUCACCAUCAAAAUGGUGCCAUGCCCCUCCAUAUGCACCGACGCCUUGGGCAUACUGUCCAGUCUGAGUCCCUAUUCAUUCGAUGCAUCGCCCUCGGCGGAUAUACCCAAUAUUGCUGAUGUGCCCAUUGGGGCCAUACCAUUGUUGUCCGUGGCCUCGCCCGAGUUUCAGGAGACGGUGAACAAGACGGUGGCGGCGGCCAAUAUUGUGUACCAUGAGUUCCUUAAGUCGGAGGAGGGUCACGGCUUCUCCGGCCAGAUUGUUAUGCUUGGCGAUUCCAUGGGCUCGCUGCUGGCCUAUGAGGCGCUAUGUCGGGCCAAUGGCACCACGGCCGGCAGUAGUGGUGGUCAGUCGCAUUUCGCUGGCGGUGUCGGCUCCUCAGCCAGCGGUGGCGGUGAUGUCAACAGUCGCUCGUCACGUGCUGACGAUGAUGAACGCUUCAUUGACUCAGAUCUGGAUGCGAAGCGUCUAUUGGUGGCCCCAUCACCACGUCGCCGUCGCUCUUCAUCAUCCAGCGAUUCACGGGCCAUCAAGUUGGACUUUGAGGUGUGCGAUUUCUUUAUGUUUGGCUCCCCGCUCUCGGUGGUGUUGGCUGCGCGUAAGCUGCACGAUGCAAAGGCGGCGUUGGCUCGUCCCAACUGCCAUCAGGUUUACAAUCUGUUCCAUCCUACCGAUCCGAUUGCUUCGCGUCUGGAGCCGCUGCUCAGUGCACGGUUCUCAAUCUUGGCGCCGGUCAAUGUGCCGCGCUAUGCAAAAUAUCCGCUGGGCAAUGGCCAGCCACUGCAUUUAUUGGAGGUCAUACAGUCGCAUCCGCAGCAUUUCAACGAUGGCAACAAUCUGCUCGCUGGCCGUCGCCUUUCGGACGCAUCCAUGCAAAGUACAAUCUCUGGCCUCAUUGAGAAUGUGUCGCUAAGUACUAUACAGUCCCUCCAAAGCAAGUGGUGGGGCACCAAACGACUCGACUAUGCGCUCUAUUGCCCCGAAGGUCUGAGCAAUUUUCCCGCCCAUGCCCUGCCGCAUCUGUUUCAUGCCAGCUACUGGGAGAGUCCCGAUGUUAUCGCCUUCAUAUUGCGCCAAAUUGGCAAAUUCGAGGGCAUACCAUUUGUGGGCUCCAACGACGACAAGGACGCCGCCUCGUUCCAUCCGGGACAGCCGCGUGAGAAAUGGAUUAAGAAGCGAACUUCGGUCAAGUUAAAGAAUGUAGCGGCCAAUCAUCGUGCAAACGAUGUGAUCGUACAGGAGGGACGUGAACAGCGUCUUAAUGCUCGCUUCAUGUAUGGCCCCCUCGAUAUGAUCACGCUGCAUGGCGAGAAGGUGGACGUGCAUAUUAUGAAGGAUCCGCCGGCGGGCGAAUGGACUUUCCUUAGCACCGAAGUAACAGACAAGAAUGGACGCAUCAGCUACAGCAUACCCGAUCAUCUAUCGCUGGGCUAUGGCAUCUAUCCUGUAAAGAUGGUGGUGCGUGGCGAUCACACCUCGGUCGAUUGUUACAUGGCCGUUGUGCCACCACUCACAGAAUGUGUGGUGUUCAGCAUAGAUGGUUCGUUUACUGCCUCCAUGUCGGUGACCGGUCGUGAUCCGAAGGUGCGUGCCGGCGCUGUGGAUGUCUGCCGUCACUGGCAGGAACUUGGCUAUCUGCUCAUCUAUAUAACCGGCCGACCCGAUAUGCAACAACAGCGCGUCGUCUCUUGGCUGAGUCAGCACAACUUCCCACACGGUCUAAUCUCUUUUGCCGAUGGCCUUUCCACCGAUCCGCUAGGCCACAAAACGGCUUAUCUCAACAAUCUUGUCCAGAAUCAUGGAAUCUCAAUUACCGCUGCCUAUGGCAGCAGCAAGGAUAUUAGCGUCUACACUAAUGUGGGCAUGCGGCCAGAGCAGAUCUUCAUUGUGGGCAAGGUCAGCAAGAAGCUGCAGUCCAAUGCCACUGUCCUAAGCGAGGGCUAUGCCGCUCACCUGGCCGGUCUGCAGGUCGUGGGCGGCUCUCGGCCGGCCAAGGGGAACGCUCGCAUGGUGAUACCACGCACGUGCUUCAAUUUGCCCGGCCAGUCGGCCAAUCCUAGGCGCCGAAGGCUGCAUGAACAAACGGCGAAUUAAGUUUAAAAAGAAAAGCUGAAAAACUGUUCACAACAACAAUCUCUCACACGAUACUCACGAGUCACACACACACACUCUAUUGCCGUCUCACUCACUUUGAUGCCUGCGUUGCCGUUAUGAGCAAUGAUACUCGUAUUUAUAUGAAGAAAGAUAGACGCAAAGAAUUGGUGUUUAUUGUUAAGUUAAAUUUUUUCAUUUACUGCAUUGCCGUUACGUUUUAGCAAAUUAUUUUUAUUGAUCGGUGUUGUAUGUUCGACCAAAUCUGCAAAACCAAAACCAAACUAGUGCAUAAAAACCAAUUGAGAUUAUUCUACAACAAAAAGUUCAUUACUCAAUUCUCAAAUCAACUCUGUCUCAACUUUAACUCUGUCUCUCUUUUUCUAAACAUAAACCCGAACUUUUCUAUAAACAAACAAAAAAACAUUAAACACACACACACAUUCAAUCAAUCAAUCACUUACACACACACACACAUUAAUCUACACACGCUUGCAAUCGACAUGCGCAGCAAUGAGACGGGACUGUCAUCUCCGAUACGCAGCGGCUAUUUGAAGCGUAAGACCUAUCUGAGCCACCACUAAAAAGAUAAGAAGAGAUCGGGGUCUUUCAUCUCCUGAAAAACAAAAUGGAACAAUUGUGUGGAAGUGCGUGCAAGCCAACCCUCAAAAAAUGAACAAAAGAAGGAAAUAAUGGACAAAUGGAGGAAUCAAAUGAAAAUGCGAAUAAAAAUAAUGAAAAAGGAAGCUGCAGCAACAAAAGCAACUAUACAUGCAUAUGAAACACCACAUACAUACUAACAUACGUAUGUACAUAUGUAUGAUUAGUACAUACUUAUGUAUGUAUAUGCUAUAUACCUACUCUACUAUAUGUUGCGUUGAAUCAACAUGUGCUGCGAAUCUCCGUUAUAACAGCAACCGUUCCGUUCGAUAUUCAUAUGUACAUGCAUAGAUAUAUAGAUAAAGCAGACCCACAUAAGUAUAUAAUGUAUCUGUUAUGUACAUGUAUGUAGAUGAUACACAAACGUCUCACACAUACAUAUAAAAAUGCAAACCAAAUAAAAACCCCAACUAUUUACAUAUAUCUAGUGAGUGGAUCAGCAUCAGCAUUAGUGCAGUCCAACAUCAACAGCAUUGAUGAUGCCACAUACUACAUCUGUAUAUACAAAUAUAUUAUGCGCGAUAUAUAGAAAACUAUAUAUGUACAUAUACAUAUAAUAAUAAAAACAAACAGACAGACAAACUUGUACAACAUAUAAGCAAAGUCAAAUGUGUCACGCGGUACCUGGAAAGAAAGACUGUUUCCUCCUGUUGUUUGAUGGUUUUCCAAACCACAUAAAGAAACAAAACUAAACAAAACAAAACAAACAAAAACAAAAAAGUGUAUAUCUAUAUAUGUAUGUAAACAGAAAGUAUAUAAAGCGUAAAAUGUCUAACAGAAUUCUAUCUAUAUACAAACCAUAAACAUCUAAAACCGUUCAGCAUAUGAAAACGAACAAAGUUCAAUAAAAAGUGUAACCACAAAGAAGGUACAACUAAAGAACAAGCUUAAUAUCUGUAUAACAUAAAAAAUGAUGGUAAAACGUUGCAUUGAUUUGUGAAACGAAUGAUGAACUGAAGUGAUUAUCUUAUCCUUUAUGCGCAACUGUACCUGAGUGCCGCGCAUGCGUUGCAAAAUCAAAGGCAAAUUAAAUGCAUUUCUGAAACCAAUUUAAUGAAUAAAUAAAUUAAAACGUAAACUAAACAUAAUAGUGAAGCGAGUGGAAUUAAAAAAACCUAAACGGCUUCCGAAACAUAAACAUAAAUUAGAGCUCUAUUUCAGUGUGUGCGUUUAUAAGUAUUAUAAAGUUCAAAACUUUUCCUAACAAAACAAACUUCACGACAUCAAUGAAGAAACUAAAUUAUUCAAAAAAGAAAACUCUAAAAAAUUUUAUAAAUGUGAUAGUCUUUCGCUACUAAAGAUACAAAUGAAACGAAAAAAGAACAAACUAUAAUAAUAGGCCAAUCAAAUUGUUAUAUGCAUGCAUAUUGGGGUUCAAUUAAGAGAACAGAGCGCUGCAAACAUUCGUUAUUACCUUUGGAAUCUGUCAUCGUGUAAUAAAAUUCAAGUUUUGUUUGUUAAAUCGUAGCAUUUAGUGUAAGGUGAUGACAGCAAUCGAGUACGAGUAUUAAACUAUCAAUAUGCAAAAAAAGAGAAUAUAUUUAUGUGCUGAGAAACAAAAGUACCGAAAAUAUGAAUAUCAACUAGCCAGAACAGACCUGAGGAGCGGCUCAUUUGUGAUACACGAAAUUGUGGCAGCAGAAAUGUCAAAUGAAAAUACAGAGACACUAUUCAGAUAUGCACAAGCUAGUCUUAUACAUACAUAUAUAUAUUGCCCCAGAUCAACAGAACCAAAAAGAGAAGUAACCCACAUUUAGCGAAGCAAAGAACAGAACUCAUUUCCGAGCGACCUCUAACGCCUUAAGCUUAAACUAUUAUUUUAAAUAGCCAGUGUUCGAAAAUGCUUUGGUACCUGUUCCUGGGCACGCAGUUUCCAGCACUAUAUAAAACGCUGCUUAGGCAUUGCAACGGCACGUCCACAACUUCUCAUUAUUCUCAAUCCAAUCCUACAAAGACUUUCCCCAUGGGAAGACUAUCUAUCUUUAAGUAAAUAGCGAAGUUCAAGCACUUUUUGGUACCUCCAUGAACAAUCUGAAGUAAAUGCAUUACAAAUUAAGCAAAAAGCAAACGAGGAUUAAGUCUCUACGCCAGGCCAGUUAACUGAAAUCUACAUAAAAUGUCCCUUUCAAAAUAACAUAAAUAACGGUACAAAAGGAAAAAAGAAACAAAAAAUGGACCCGCAGAUAAAUAUUUAUAUACACAUAAAAAAUUAAAUUAAAUAUUUAAAGAUUGCGUUCGUUUACUACUCGUGUUGUAGUUAAGACUUGCUAUACUGAGAAAUCCUAAAAGCAAAUUGAAGAGUUUAAAAUGAAGAAACAAAGAAAACACACAACACACACAUUUAAAUAUAGGCAUACAUACAAACGUGCAUAUAUACAUAUAUAAAUAUAUACAUAUUAUAUUUAUACAUACGUACAUACAUAUAUUAACUAGAGAAACUGUAAGUUAAGAACCUCCUCCAAAGAGAAAUUAUUGAUAUUGAUAUUAGGCGAGUGAGGUGUUCCGAAAAGUCUUGCCCUGUGCAUACGUUCCUCUUUUGAAGUAAUAACUAACCUAUACUAAACAAAUAUAUGUAAACAUAUUGUUAUAUUCGGUGGGUGUUACGUAAGCCUUUCAUGUGGAUCACUGCUUUUUCCACUUCUAAGCCACAUACAUCGUUCAUAUGUGUGUAAUAAAUAUACAUACAUACUUUGCAUCGAUCUGCCAACUAUAUGUACGUGUAUGUAGAAAUGUUUACGAAUUUCCAAAUUUGUCAGCUGCUGGCUGCCUGUCUUGUAGGAUUCUAUAGAGAUUUUAGAAAUAUGGACCCAUUUUUCUCUGGCUUCUGCUUGAACACAUUCUUUUCAUAGUCUUAAAUAUAUACAUACAUAUGUAUGUACACAUGUGGAUAAAUCCGCUCAAUUUUGUUAAGAAGAUAUUUGGUUAGAAAGAUUUAAAUACAUAUAUAGUUAGCAUAAUUGGUUCCUGAACAGUGCGAGUGGCAGUUGUUAGAUUUGAAUUCUCUUCUCUCUACUUUUUGUAAUUCAAAAACAAAAUAUCAAAGUUGUGCAUGUAUAUAGAUAUGUAGCUACUAGCUAAUAAAAAUUGUUCAAACACUCACUGACAACUCAUAAACUAAAUAAAUAAACAAUGAAAUGAGUAAUUCAACAACAAAGGAAAUGCAGCGUAUUGAUAUUUUAGCCCACCAUUUAGCCCGGCAUUUCAGCUACAGAAGAAUACAUACAUACGUGUACAUAGUGGCAUAUGUACGUAUGUAAGUACGUAAACAAACAUAUGUACAUACAUGUGUAUGUAUGUAAACAUGUACGUAGUUACUAUAUGCAAGUUUAGCGGCAGUGAAAACGAAAUAAACAACUAAAGAGCGAUAUUAAAAACAAAUGCAUACAUACAUAUGUACAUACGCGCUAAUCUUUAAUAAUUAUGUACAUAUGUAUGUAUGUAUUUACAUAUACAUAAAUAGCGUAAUUAAGGUCAAAA